rnacentral:misc_RNA from 1 species
AACAAGGCGUACCUGCGGACCUGCGGAAGGAUCAUUACCGAGUUUACAACUCCCAAACCCCUGUGAACAUACCUAUACGUUGCCUCGGCGGAUCAGCCCGCGCCCCGUAAAACGGGACGGCCCGCCCGAGGACCCCUAAACUCUGUUUUUAGUGGAACUUCUGAGUAAAACAAACAAAUAAAUCAAAACUUUCAACAAUGGAUCU